rnacentral:rRNA from 1 species
GAUGAACGCUGGCGGCGUGCCUAAUACAUGCAAGUCGAGCGAACAGACGAGGAGCUUGCUCCUUCGACGUUAGCGGCGGACGGGUGAGUAACACGUAGGUAACCUACCUGUAAGACUGGGAUAACUUCGGGAAACCGGAGCUAAUACCGGAUAAUAUUUCGAACCGCAUGGUUCGAUAGUGAAAGAUGGCUUUGCUAUCACUUAUAGAUGGACCUGCGCCGUAUUAGCUAGUUGGUAAGGUAACGGCUUACCAAGGCAACGAUACGUAGCCGACCUGAGAGGGUGAUCGGCCACACUGGAACUGAGACACGGUCCAGACUCCUACGGGAGGCAGCAGUAGGGAAUCUUCCGCAAUGGGCGAAAGCCUGACGGAGCAACGCCGCGUGAGUGAUGAAGGUCUUCGGAUCGUAAAACUCUGUUAUUAGGGAAGAACAAACGUGUAAGUAACUGUGCACGUCUUGACGGUACCUAAUCAGAAAGCCACGGCUAACUACGUG